rnacentral:rRNA from 1 species
AGAGUGAACGCUGGCGGUAGGCCUAACACAUGCAAGUCGAACGGCAGCACAGUGGUAGCAAUACCAUGGGUGGCGAGUGGCGGACGGGUGAGGAAUACAUCGGAAUCUACCUUUUCGUGGGGGAUAACGUAGGGAAACUUACGCUAAUACCGCAUACGCCCUUUGGGGGAAAGCCGGGGAUCGCAAGACCUGGCGCGGAUAGAUGAGCCGAUGUCGGAUUAGCUAGUUGGUGAGGUAAUGGCUCACCAAGGCGACGAUCCGUAGCUGGUCUGAGAGGAUGAUCAGCCACACUGGAACUGAGACACGGUCCAGACCUCCGUACGGGAGGCAGCAGUGGGGGAAUAUUGGACAA